AUUGAACGCUGGCGGCAGGCCUAACACAUGCAAGUCGAGCGGAUGAAGGGAGCUUGCUCCUGGAUUCAGCGGCGGACGGGUGAGUAAUGCCUAGGAAUCUGCCUGGUAGUGGGGGAUAACGUCCGGAAACGGGAGCUAAUACCGCAUACGUCCUGUGGGAGAAAGUGGGGGAUCUUCGGACUUCACGCUAUCAGAUGAGCCUAGGUCGGAUUAGCUAGUUGGUGGGGUAAAGGCCUACCAAGGCGACGAUCCGUAACUGGUCUGAGAGGAUGAUCAGUCACACUGGAACUGAGACACGGUCCAGACUCCUACGGGAGGCAGCAGUGGGGAAUAUUGGACAAUGGGCGAAAGCCUGAUCCAGCCAUGCCGCGUGUGUGAAGAAGGUCUUCGGAUUGUAAAGCACUUUAAGUUGGGAGGAAGGGCAGUAAGUUAAUACCUUGCUGUUUUGACGUUACCAACAGAAUAAGCACCGGCUAACUUCGUG
rnacentral:rRNA from 1 species